rnacentral:misc_RNA from 1 species
GUCAGCUAUGAUUCCAGCAGGUAUAUGUAGACUGCAGUUAACUUCCACUUCUUUGUUUCUUCAUCCAAGUAAUUCAUUUAUUUUCUGUAAGCUAGUUUUUUAGUACUACACACAGAACUCAAGCAGAAGUGAGUUCCUGGGCUUCAAUUUUGUGGUUUAUUCAAUCUAUUCAUUACACUUAGUUUUGCUGAAUCUUGCACAUUCUUAAUUAUGAUCUUAUAUUUCUAUAUAUAUUUGUCUGUCAAAUUUUAGUUGUUGGCAGCUUGAUUUACAUUAAGGCGAGGAGAGACUUUGAAAUAUUUUCUCCAGCAUUGAGGAAAUUGUGGAAGGACUGGGAGCUACGUAUUUUAGUUCUACUCAGCCUUGUCUUGCAGAUAAUACUAAUCUUUUUUGGAAAUCAGCGGAAAGUUUCGAGCAGGAUUUGGGUUCGAGUCGUCCUAUGGUGUGCUUAUUUGACGGCCGAUUGGGUAGCAACCGUUGCCCUUGGGGUUCUCUUAAACAACAUGGGAGACGUCUAUGAGAACAAGGAUAAGGGGAGAAUUGUUCUGGACGCAGACACUCAGAUUACUGCAUUUUGGGCACCAUUUCUUCUGUUGCACUUGGGUGGCCCUGAUACUAUUACUGCGUAUUCUCUGGAAGACAAUGAGUUGUGGUUAAGGCACUUUCUUGGGCUGGGUGUACAGACAGGAGUGGCACUUUAUAUUUUCCUCUUGGCCUGGAUAGGUUCUCGCUUUUCCAUUCUCACAAUGCCAAUGUUUUUGGCAGGAAUUAUCAAAUAUGGAGAGAGGACAUGGGCCCUUAGAUCAGCAAGCAACGAUGAAUUGAGAGAUUCCAUGCUUACUGAUCCAGAUCCUGGCCCCAAUUAUUCCAAGUUCAUGGAGGAAUUCACUUUGAAGCAGUACGAGGGAUUCCAUGUACAGGCACAAGAAGUAAUUGAGACACAAAUCCAGGUCGAAGUUUCUGUGGGAGAUGACACUUUUGAAGGUGAAACUGAAUUGCUUAAAGCCAGUUACUUAUUCAAGACCUUCAAGCGUCUCUUUGUUGAUCUCAUCCUCAGCUUCCAAGAUCGAGACAAUAGCCAAUCCUUAUUCAAAGGAACAUCCUACGAAGACGCUUUCAAAGUGAUUGAGAUUGAACUUGGAUUCAUGUACGACAUGCUCUACACAAAGGGAACAAUAAUUUACUCACGCAAAGGCUGCUGUCUCCGCUUCAUCAGUCUAACUAGCACCUGCAUUGUACUUGUCUUCUUUUCUUUAUCCAACAAGCGCGACUUCAAGAAGAUUGACAUAGCCAUAACCUUCUUAUUGCUGGUUAUAGCUAUUUUUCUUGAGCUCUGUGCAGUGCUUUUUUUGGUCUCCUCAGAUUGGGCAGAUCUUUACCUGUCUAAGCAUAAAACCGUUAUCCGGCAAGCCAUCACUCAUAUACAGCUGCAGAAGGGUGCAAGAUGGUCAAAUUCCUUGGGACAAUACAGCUUAUUGAGCUAUAGCCUCAAAAGUAUGCCUGUGUUCAACAGCAAAAUCCAGAAGUUCUUUGGCAUAGUUAAAAUAUUAGAACACCGGCAAAUGACUAAUAAGGAUGUUUCUGAUGAGCAGAAAGAGUUCAUAUUCGACCAUCUCAAGAAGAAAUUUGACGAUCUGAUGGAGAUUAAAUCAACAGAUGAACCCAACUACCAGAAGGAGCUUAAAGAUCUGAGCACUUGCCGGGGGGCUCGUGCGCUUAGUGAUUUUCCUACACUGCGUUGGAGUGUGGAAACAGAGUUCGACCAGAGCAUUCUUAUCUGGCACAUUGCUACACAUCUCUGUGCCUACUCUCAAAGGCAAAAUGAGCAGAACAUAGUUAAAUUGGAAAAUGAGGAUGACAGUAAGAAGUUUAAAAAGAUAAGUAAGUUAUUAUCACGGUACAUGCUGUAUCUCCUGGUUAUGCGUCCUUCGAUGUUGCCAAUGGGAAUUGGGAAGAUCAGAUAUCUGGACACUUGCGCUGAAGCCAAAAAAUUUUUUCAGGAGCACGAUUGCGCACCAGGUGAUGACAUCCACCUGCUUCAAAAUACUUGCUCUUGGGCUAUGAAUCUUUUCAAAGGGGCAAAGUACAAGGAACAUGAAAAGAAAGCCUGCAAUGCGUUGCUUAAAGUGAACACCGCAGUUCCACCACUUAAAGUGAAAGGGGACAGGAGCAAGUCUGUGUUAUUCGACGCAUGCAAUCUAGCUUCGCUUCUGCAAAAUGAAAAUAUAAAAAAUAAGUGGAAAGUGAUGAGCAAUGUAUGGGUGGAAAUGCUAGCUUAUGCUGCUAGCCACUGCAGAGGAAUUUAUCAUGCUCAGCAGUUGGGACGAGGCGGGGAACUUCUUACCCAUAUUUGGCUCCUGAUGGCCCAUUUUGGUUUAACCGAGCAGUUCCAAAUAUCGCUUGGCCAUGCAAGAGCCAAGCUUUUUGUGGAAUAGUUAGCUAUCAUAGUGUAUCCUAGUACUAAUUAAUUAAAUUGUUGUUUCUUUUGUACGAGUUUGAAAUAUCUGUCAGAUUAUUGGAAUAUGUAGAUCUAUGAUGUGCGAUCUUCUACCUAUAAUAAGA